GCGGCCGGCGCCGACGACCUGGACGUCGACGCCGUGCUGGGCAGCGAGCGCGCGCUGACGGCGCUGCUGCGCUGCGUGGUGGCGCGGGGCGACGGGCCCUGCUCCGACCAGGGGAAGGCCGUCAAGGCUUUCGUGGCGUCCGCGGUGGAGACUAACUGCGCGUCGUGCUCGGAGAGCCAGCUGGCGGCGGCCGAGAAGGUGCUCCGCCACCUGACAACUCGACGAAAGUCGGACUGGAACAAGCUGGUUGCGCGCUACGACACCACGGGCGAACUGCGCAGUCGCUACCGUAAACACUGGGAGCAGCGGGGCGUGCGCAUCUAGCGCCGCUCUCUCUCUCUCUCCCUCUCUCCCAGUCACUCACUCCCUAUCUGUGCUUCCCGCCUCAACCACCUCUCACUCACCAGCCCCCUCUCCAACAACACGCAUACACCCCCACCACUCCAGGGUCGGCUUCACUCGUCUGCCGACCGACACAACAUUAUCAGUUUUUUACUAUAUUUCUGUGUUUUGUAAAACUAUCCGUUAUCGCCAGAGUAAAUACUGUAAGUACUUGGAAUAAAGAGAUGAAAACGCU